rnacentral:rRNA from 1 species
GGCUGCAGAAUUUUAACUGUACAAAGGUAGCAUAAUAAUUUGUUUUUUAAUUAAAAACUAGUAUAAAAGAUUUAAUAAAAUAUAAACUAUUUUAAUUAAAUAAAUAUUUAAAUUUUUAUUUAAGUAAAAAAACUUAAAUAUAAUUAAAAGACGACAAGACCCUAUAGAAUUUUAUUUUUUAUUUUAAUUAAAUAAUUAAUUUUUUAUAUAAUUAACUAAUAAAAAUUUAAUUGGGGUAAUUAAAAAAUUAAAAAAAUUUUUUUAUUAUAAAACAUAAAUUAAUGAAUUAAAAAUCUUUAUAUAAAAAUUAAUAAAAUUAAUUACCUUAGGGAUAACAGCAUAAUUUUUUUUAAAAGUUCUUAUUAAUAAAAAAGAUUAU